ensembl:snoRNA SNORA70 Small nucleolar RNA SNORA70
CUGCAGCCAAUUAAGCCAACCGGCCCCCUCUCCCCAUGGGGGCCCAGUGUGCAGUGGCUGAAGACAGCAGCCUCCUUGGUAGGGUACGUGGCCUGUUGCCUGUACGGGUUGCCCUAAGGGACCUUGGAGACAGCC